rnacentral:lncRNA from 1 species
UGGGUUCACAAUAGGAGAUAAAGAGAUGGUGUCCUUGGUGCUUUACAGGUAUUCGCAUUAAGAAGUAUGUGAAGGUUCGACAUGGGGAAGACAUUGGAGUUAGAUUUUUUCCGUUGAGGUCUCUUGUGAUGGUUCGGAGAUCAAGCCGAUUCUUAUCCUAGUUACACCGAAAUUUGUUGCCAUCGUCACCAUCUACAGCUUCGCCAUCUGUACCACCGGACCACCCUUCUUCUCCUCGUUUUGAACCCACCGGAAGUGUGAAGAAAUGGUUCUUCCCAUUUGCGAGGCAACGUAUAUGUCCACUAUAAGUCGUUGGAUUCAGCUGUGAUGGCUUACAGUUCUGUACAUGGUCGUUAUUUUACUGGCAAACAGGCAUGAUGACUGCUAGCAAUUUCAAAGGGCUUAACGCUAUGGCAGUGAUUUGGAAAUGUAACUGCAAGUAGCACAACUACCAGCGAUAAGUAUUUCAGAUAUAGCGGUUCCCUUACAACUCCUCCAUGCUCGGAGGGUAUCACUUGGACAGUUGCCGAAAAGGUCAAAACAAUUUCAAAGGACCAAAUUGCUAAAAGGGGCUGUUGAUCAUGAAUUUCAACAUAAUGCAAGGCCUGUCCAAGAUCUUAAUGGAAGAACAGUUACACAAUUUGAAGACAGAGUUAAAUGUGAGUUUGUUAGUCUAACUAGAUGGAAGGUUGCCAUAUGCUGGGAGUACAUGAAAGCAAGGCUCAAGGAAUCUCUCACAAUCGGUUGAUUUUACUUUCAAUUUGUACUCGGAUCAUGCGACUUUGGUGUUGAAGGUGCAUACAGGCUGAUUCGGCGAUCUAGGGUUCGGUCGACGGUUUCAAGGGUCAUGUUGUCAUCAAAGUUCGUUGCCAGGUACAAACUUUCAUGUUGGUGAUGACAUGUAGGAGAGUAGGAAAAG